rnacentral:rRNA from 1 species
UACGAAGGGGGCUAGCGUUGUUCGGAAUUACUGGGCGUAAAGCGCGCGCAGGCGGUUUUCCAAGUCAGGGGUGAAAGCCCGGAGCUCAACUCCGGAAAUGCCAUUGAAACUGCAAAACUUGAGUACGAGAGAGGUGAGUGGAAUUCCCAGUGUAGAGGUAAAAUUCGUAGAUAUUGGGAAGAACACCGGUGGCGAAGGCGGCUCACUGGCUCGUAACUGACGCUCAGGCGCGAUAGCGUGGGGAUCAAACAGG